rnacentral:tRNA from 1 species
GGGUAUAUAGCUCAGUGGUAGGGUACCUGCUUAGCAUGCAUGAGGUUCUGGGUUCAAUCCCCACCACCUCCA